GCUAAUACAUGCAAGUCGAGCGAACAGACGAGGAGCUUGCUCCUUUGACGUUAGCGGCGGACGGGUGAGUAACACGUGGGUAACCUACCUAUAAGACUGGGAUAACUUCGGGAAACCGGAGCUAAUACCGGAUAAUAUUUCGAACCGCAUGGUUCGAUAGUGAAAGAUGGCUCUGCUAUCACUUAUAGAUGGACCUGCGCCGUAUUAGCUAGUUGGUAAGGUAACGGCUUACCAAGGCAACGAUACGUAGCCGACCUGAGAGGGUGAUCGGCCACACUGGAACUGAGACACGGUCCAGACUCCUACGGGAGGCAGCAGUAGGGAAUCUUCCGCAAUGGGCGAAAGCCUGACGGAGCAACGCCGCGUGAGUGAUGAAGGUCUUCGGAUCGUAAAACUCUGUUAUUAGGGAAGAACAAACGUGUAAGUAACUGUGCACGUCUUGACGGUACCUAAUCAGAAAGCCACGGCUAACUACGUGCCAGCAGCCGCGGUAAUACAUA
rnacentral:rRNA from 1 species